GCAGUCGAGCGAAUGGAUUAAGAGCUUGCUCUUAUGAAGUUAGCGGCGGACGGGUGAGUAACACGUGGGUAACCUGCCCAUAAGACUGGGAUAACUCCGGGAAACCGGGGCUAAUACCGGAUAACAUUUUGAACCGCAUGGUUCGAAAUUGAAAGGCGGCUUCGGCUGUCACUUAUGGAUGGACCCGCGUCGCAUUAGCUAGUUGGUGAGGUAACGGCUCACCAAGGCAACGAUGCGUAGCCGACCUGAGAGGGUGAUCGGCCACACUGGGACUGAGACACGAUCCAGACUCAUACGGGAGGCAGCAGUAGGGAAUCUUCCGCAAUGGACGAAAGUCUGACGGAGCAACGCCGCGUGAGUGAUGAAGGCUUUCGGGUCGUAAAACUCUGUUGUUAGGGAAGAACAAGUGCUAGUUGAAUAAGCUGGCACCUUGACGGUACCUAACCAGAAAGCCACGGCUAACUACGUGCCAGCAGCCGCGGUAAUACGUAGGUGGCAAGCGUUAUCCGGAAUUAUUGGGCGUAAAGCGCGCGCAGGUGGUUUCUUAAGUCUGAUGUGAAAGCCCACGGCUCAACCGUGGAGGGUCAUUGGAAACUGGGAGACUUGAGUGCAGAAGAGGAAAGUGGAAUUCCAUGUGUAGCGGUGAAAUGCGUAGAGAUAUGGAGGAACACCAGUGGCGAAGGCGACUUUCUGGUCUGUAACUGACACUGAGGCGCGAAAGCGUGGGGAGCAAACAGGAUUAGAUACCCUGGUAGUCCACGCCGUAAACGAUGAGUGCUAAGUG
rnacentral:rRNA from 1 species